AUACCUUUUUCGGCCUUUUGGCUAAGAUUAAGUGUAGUGUUUGUUCUUAUCAGUUUAAUAUCUGAUAUGUUGGCCACACGCCUUCUUCAUAUUAACUCUAUUUUUUAAGAGAGAAAGUCUGUCAUGAUAGCUUGCUAUCUAGGCUUCUAUAAGUCACCCAUGUGUUAGGCUUCUAUAAGUCACCCAUGUGUUUCAUUGCUGCAAGGAUCUGGCUCAACCCAC
rnacentral:snRNA from 2 species